CGGACGGGUGAGUAACGCGUGGGUAACCUGCCCUGUACAGGGGGAGUAACAAUCAGAAAUGACUGCUAAUACCGCAUAAGACCACAGCACCGCAUGGUGCAGGGGUAAAAACUACCGGUGGUACAGGAUGGACCCGCGUCUGAUUAGCUGGUUGGUGAGGUAACGGCUCACCAAGGCGACGAUCAGUAGCCGGCUUGAGAGAGUGAACGGCCACAUUGGGACUGAGACACGGCCCAAACUCCUACGGGAGGCAGCAUG
rnacentral:rRNA from 1 species